UCUGGACUCCAGUCAAGCAGCAACUUUGUUUAUGGUGCCAAGCGGGUGUGGAAAAAAAAUGAUUUCCUGAUCAUGUCGUGCAACUGUGAGGUCAGACCAUCCACAGGUGAACAAAUAAGUGGCUCCCAGACUCGCCUGUGUGCGGGAAGUGCUGGCGUGUCACCUUUGAAAUAAUAUUGCUGCCAUCAAGCUCACGCCUGAGGAACAGCAUCCACCCUGUCACUGGGACCUCGCCGGUUAAGGAAGGAAGCAAGCACAAAGAAAGAAUUUUUUUUCUAACCACUAGAGAGAGAGCAAGCAUCACUGUGGAAAACUUCUUUUCUUUCAGUCAAAAAAAGUUGACCUCACGAUCAUUGUCAUCGUCAUCUGGCUGCAGGAUCAGGGAAUGCCUGGCGAUCGCCAAUCACAGCAAUACCGCUCAGGACUCCUGCAAGGUGCCGGGCAAGAUCACUAAAUGCCUUGUGUGCCUUUUACCAUCGGGGAUAUGAAAGCAUCCUCUCUGCUUUUAAUUUCUUGUGGGUAGUUUGUUCUUCUUUGCCUGGUUAAAAUGUCAGGGUCUUAUUCUGUGUUUCUCUUCCACCCUCCGCUUCCUCUGCUGUUCCACCAUCUGCCGGGCAUCGAUUCCCUUGCUGACAGGUCCGAUUCAAUAACAGGUACGCUCUUCUCCAGUCAGCUGGCAGCGUCAGGCGAUGGCAAAAGCACUGAGAAAUUAAACACAGUAAAAGUGGCACCGAGAGAGAGGCAGACAUCGUCAAUGAUGAAGGAGGGGCGGAGAAUUCAUGGAAAUGGCAAGGUGCUAUCCACUGAUUGUGGAUUGAUGAGGUGUCUGCGCUACAACCUGACAUUGAAGUAGAAAAUUUCAAGCAGCUAUCGGCAAUGGAAUUGGAUCAAAGACUUUCAACAGUGAAGUUUGUUAAUGAUUCUACACACAAAGGAUGUGUAAUAAAACUGAACCAGGCUCAAUAUACCAACCAACCAUUUCAGCUGAACACAAAAUUGGUAUGGUGAUAGAAGACAGAGGGAAGAUGUUUUCCAACAGGAAUUAAUGGUGUGCCCUCUUCUUGUUGCUGCCAUCAAGGAGGAGAUGCAGGAGCCUGAAGACAUACUCUCACUGUUUUAGUAACAGCUUUUUCUCCUCCACCAUCAGAUUUAUGAAUGGACAGUGAAUAUUAUCAGGCUUUGCAAUGUACUGCUACCACAAAACAAGAAAUUUCACUAUGUAUGCUAGUGAUAUUAAACCUAAUUCUGAUUUCUGAUUCUCACCAGAGGGAUUGGUGCUUGUUGUAGUUGUUUGUCAUAUAUUAACUGACUUGGAUGAAUAUGUUAUUGGUCAGUAUAAUGUAAGUAUACUGCUGACACAAACAUUGGUGAGGUUGUAGAUAGCAUGGAUGGCUUCCUAAGGAUACAGAGGUACAUGGGUCAGUUGAAAAGUUGUGUGGAACAGAGGCAAAUGGAAUUUAAUCCAGACAAAUGUGAGAUAUUAGACAGAUUUUGAAUACUGGCAGGCAUAUUCAGUAAAGUGAAGCAGUGAUGUGCACAGGCACUUUGGGUUGCAAGUUCAUAUCUCCCUGAAAAUGGUGACACAGGUGGAUAAGAUAAUGAAGAUUAUAAGAUAAAGCAUUUAGCUUGCCUCCCUUUAUAGACAGAGGCAUUGAAUAUAUGAGUUGGGACAUCAUGUUGGGGUUGUAUAAGUUGUAAUGGUUCGGCCAUGUUUGGAACAUUAUGAGCAGUUUUGUUUUACAUUUUUCUUUUCCCCUCCAAUGAGUUUCCUACUGAGCCAUUAAACAUUCAACCCCUUAUUUUGUUACUCUAGCUCCUCAUUUGUGACAUUCCCACUAAUGAAAAAAUAUCACCAUUUGCCCUUAUGAUCUGCUAUGUUUGAGUAAGGCUAACUCUCAUUUUUCUAAACUCUAAGGAAUAAGACCCAAACUGUUGAUUCUCUCUUGCUAAAUAUUGUGAAAUGUGAAGCCUUGAUAAUCUGGCAUUAAAUAAUAAAAAACACCUAGUUUCAAAAAUGUGCUGGAAUUCUCACAUUACUUCAUAUUUAUAUUGAAAUAAAAGGCAUUUUUUUUCACCAAAUAAUGUUGUCUUGUUUGGCAACAAAACGUUUUGUCUUGCCCUAUUUUUAGUUGUAAGAUGAUGAAAUUCUUAUCAUCGGCACAAGAAAUGCCGAUUUCAAACAUAAUUGCCAUAUUGAAUCUUACUGGAUCCAGUCACAGCCCAGAGUCACUGCCUACAGUACAAGCCUGCAUUCACCUGGGUCAAAUACAGGGACACCCUGCAAUCAGCAGAGGUCUCGGCCAGAAGCUCAAGUGCUUCCACAGACAGCUGAGGGAAACGCUUUGCCAGUGUUUGAAACUAAUAAUUGACCUCGGCAGUUUUAAAUAUCUUUUGAUUUCAGGAAUAUCUUAGAUUUCAGGGUACUGGUUAGAAAAAGAAACAAAUUAAAAUACUCAUCAGUUAUCUUCACGGUCACCACUCCUUCUGUCACUGGAAGCAAUUUCUCGUCACUUAUUUCAAUGAAACUGGCUCUUCAGUUUGAACCCCUCUACUAAAUUCCUCCUGCCCAAAGGAAGAUGUUCCUUGGCUUAGUCUCACUGAAGGUUUCUAGUUUCUGGACAGCUGGUAGACCAUGCCUAUUGUUCAGGUGUAUUCUAGAGUUAUGAUGUACAGCAAAUACUAAUUUCAGCAGCAGCCGAUCUUCAGACCUGAAUGUGGGUUGUAGAUUGAAGUUAGAGUGAAGUUCUGAACAAUGGCCUUCCUGGAUCAGCAUUUUGGGGUUGAUUGCAAACAAAGGAACACUCCAUUUGACUGCAUAUGCGUGAAUGUGACCCAGAGUCAGUGGUAAUUAACAUUUAUUUAGGUUGUCUGCUGUGUGGGUAUGAAGAUGGAGGUGUUGAAAAUUUUAUGUAAUUCAAAGGAAGCAUUGUAGUUACAUUAUAACUAUAGAAUUGUCCUACUGUUACUUUCGACUUUUAGCAUAUAAAAAUGUCAUGUAGUAUUGGGACAGACAGGCCUCUUCUUCCAAGAGCGUCUCGAACAUGAUGCUUGCUGUUCAUUUUGCUGAAUAAAGGCUUC